CCUACGAGUAGCAGCAGUGAGGAAUAUUGGUCAAUGGGCGCGAGCCUGAACCAGCCAAGUCGCGUGAGGGAGGCCGGCCCUACGGGUUGUAAACCUCUUUUGCCGGGGAGCAACGGGCGCCACGUGUGGCGUCACUGAGAGUACCCGGAGAAAAAGCAUCGGCUAACUCCGUGCCAGCAGCCGCGGUAAUACGGAGGAUGCGAGCGCUAUCCGGAUUUAUUGGGUUUACAGGGUGCGUAGGCGGAUCGUUAAGUCAGUGGUCAAAUUGAGUGGCUCACCCCCUUCCCGCCAGUGAAACUGGCGUUCUUGAGUGGAAGAGAAGUAUGCGGAAUGCGUGGUGUAGCGGUGAAAUGCAUAGAUAUCACGCAGAACCCCGAUUGCGAAGGCAGCAUGCCGGCUUCCGACUGACGCUGAAGCACGAAAGCGUGGGGAUCGAACAGGAUUAGAUACCCGGGUAGUC
rnacentral:rRNA from 1 species